AGGGGAAUUGAGUUUCUGCAGGAAAUCAGUUUACGGUUCAUAUUCUUUUCCGAUUUGAUCAGGUAAAGACUGAUAACUGUUUUGCAAUGAGUUAUUAGUUAGCUUGUCCUUUUAGAUUUGUGUCUCAGGAUAAGGUGAACAAGUUUGGUG